GAUGAAGAACGCAGCGAAAUGCGAUACGUAAUGUGAAUUGCAGAAUUCAGUGAAUCAUCGAGUCUUUGAACGCACAUUGCGCCCCCUGGUAUUCCGGGGGGCAUGUCUGUCCGAGCGUCAUUGCUGCCCUCAAGCACGGCUUGUGUGUUGGGCCUCCGUCCUCCUCCCGGGGGACGGGCCCGAAAGGCAGCGGCGGCACCGCGUCCGGUCCUCGAGCGUAUGGGGCUUCGUCACCCGCUCUUGUAGGCCCGGCCGGCGCUUGCCGACACAUCAAUCUUUUUUCCAGGUUGACCUCGGGUCAGGUAGGGAUACCCGCUGAACUUAAGCAUAUCAAUAAGCGGAGGA
rnacentral:misc_RNA from 1 species